rfam:Perkinsus marinus ATCC 50983 gcontig_1104296667240, whole genome shotgun sequence.
UCUCUGGUGGCUCAAUUGGCUAGAGCGCUAGACUUCUAAAGCAAGGGUUGCGGGUUCAAGUCCCGCACAGAGUA